rnacentral:rRNA from 1 species
AGAGUUUGAUCAUGGCUCAGAAUGAACGCUGGCGGCGUUUACACAUGCAAGUUGAGCGAGGCCGGUAGCAAUACCGAGUCGAGCGGCGAACGGGUGAAUAACGCGUGGAUAACCUGCCCUGAGGUGGGGAAUAACCCGGGGAAACUCGGGCUAAUACCGCAUGAUACCGAGAGGUCAAAGAGGGCUCGCAAGGGCUCUUGCCACAGGAGGGGUCCGCGUUCGAUUAGCUAGUUGGUAGGGUAAUGGCCUACCAAGGCGACGAUCGAUAGCCGGCCUGAGAGGGUGAUCGGCCACACUGGAACUGAGACACGGUCCAGACUCCUACGGGAGGCAGCAGUGGGGAAUUUUGCGCAAUGGGCUAACGCCUGACGCAGCAACGCCGCGUGGAGGAUGAAGGUCUUUGGAUUGUAAACUCCUGUCAGCAGGGAAAAAGGGAGGGGACCUAAUACGUCCUUGACUUGAUUGUACCUGCAGAGGAAGCCCCGGCUAACUCUGUGCCAGCAGCCGCGGUAAUACAGAGGGGGCAAGCGUUAUUCGGAAUUAUUGGGCGUAAAGGGCGCGUAGGCGGCUUUUCAAGUGACGGGUGAAAUCCCUCGGCUUAACCGAGGAACUGCCUGUCAGACUGGAAGGCUUGAGACCGGGAGAGGUGAGUGGAAUUCCCAGUGUAGCGGUGAAAUGCGUAGAUAUUGGGAGGAACACCAGUGGCGAAGGCGGCUCACUGGACCGGAACUGACGCUGAGGCGCGAAAGCGUGGGGAGCAAACAGGAUUAGAUACCCUAGUAGUCC